GACUCCUACGGGAGGCAGCAGUGGGACUCCUACGGGAGGCAGUAGUGGGGCCCACUCCUACGGGAGGCAGCAGUGGGACUGUUGGCUCAGAACGAAUUUCUUGCGGCUGGCUCAGAAAAAACGCUGGCGGCUGGCUCAGAACGAACGCUGGCGGCUGGUUCAGUUCGAACNCGAACGGCCCACUCCNAAGUCAGGCAGCUGAAU
rnacentral:misc_RNA from 1 species